CUUUUAUAUAAUUAAGAGUCAGUUUCUCUAUUUAACCGAACAGCAAACAAAGAUUCAAUUAGUCAGUUCUGUGUACAGCACGACUGCCAAGCUUUCUCAAGGUCUCAACUUGCUGGACGCGGAUAUACCAGGGAUAUACUCUAACAGGCUAACAACAGCAACAAUAAAAUUCUCAAUCGUACCACGAAGAAGGCGAUCGAUGUAGCUCAGAAAACAACGCCGGUAGGACCUGAUAUUAAAAAUAAGACUUUUGCCGACGAAGCCAGUUGGCAGAACAUCUUGGCUGUCAACAACAAACUUUCGAAUAGAUGACUAGUUUGGCUGUUCUUUCAGCGUCGUGUGUCCAAAAUUCGUCAAAGAUUUUGAUAAAGACCUUUCAAAAUACUAUUUGUUUGAUUUAUUUUCUGCCAUAAAGCAUAAAAGAAAAGAAAUUCGAAGAAAUCGAUAAUGGAUUUGUUACGUGCGUUUGACCUUCAUAUUAUUAUUGUGCCCUUGAGCCCUUGAGCCCUUGACCGAGCUAUUUUUAAAACUGUUGUUUAUGUGAACUUGCAACCAAUCAAAAUC